AUUCCCUACGGGACGCAGCAGUGGGGAAUAUUGCACAAUGGGGGAAACCCUGAUGCAGCGACGCCGCGUGAGUGAAGAAGUAUCUCGGUACGUAAAGCUCUAUCAGCAGGGAAGAAAAAAAGUCCUUUGGACUUUGGACGGUACCUGACCAAGAAGCCCCGGCUAACUACGUGCCAGCAGCCGCGGUAAUACGUAGGGGGCAAGCGUUAUCCGGAUUUACUGGGUGUAAAGGGAGCGUAGACGGCAGCGCAAGUCUGGAGUGAAAUGCCGGGGCCCAACCCCGGAACUGCUCUUGGAACUGCAUG
rnacentral:rRNA from 1 species